rnacentral:rRNA from 1 species
AUUGAACGCUGGCGGCAGGCCUAACACAUGCAAGUCGAACGAGUGGCGGACGGGUGAGUAAUGUCUGGGAAACUGCCCUAUGGAGGGGGAUAACUACUGGAAACGGUGGCUAAUACCGCAAACCAUCAGAUGUACCCAUAUGGGAUUAGCUUGUUGGUGGGGUAACGGCUCAGCAAGGCGACGAGCCCUAGCUGGUCUGAGAGGAUGACCAGCCACACUGGAACUGGGACACUGUCCAGCAUCCGACGGUAGGCAUGAGGGGGGAGUAGUGCACAAGGAGCAGAAGCCAGAUGCAGCCAUUCCGGGUGUAUGAGGAGGGCCUUCGGGUUGUAAAGUACUUUCAGCGGUGAGGCGUUACCCGCAGAAGAAGCACCGGCUAACUCCGUGCCAGCAGCCGCGGUAAUAC